UACAGAGGGUGCGAGCGUUAAUCGGAAUUACUGGGCGUAAAGCGUGCGUAGACGGCUAUCUAAGUCGGGUGUGAAAGCCCCGGGCUCAACCUGGGAAGUGCAUUCGAAACUUCCGAGCUGGAGUCCCGGAGAGGAUGGCGGAAUUCUCGGUGUAGAGGUGAAAUUCGUAGAUAUCGAGAGGAACACCGGUGGCGAAGGCGGCCAUCUGGACGGUGACUGACGCUGAGACGCGAAAGCGUGGGGAGCAAACAGG
rnacentral:rRNA from 1 species